rnacentral:rRNA from 1 species
UACGUAGGGUGCGAGCGUUGUCCGGAAUUAUUGGGCGUAAAGAGCUCGUAGGAGGUGUGUCACGUCGGCCGUGAAAACCUGCAGCUUAACUGUGGGCGUGCGGUCGAUACGGGCAUCACUGGAGUUCGGCAGGGGAGACUGGAAUUCCUGGUGUAGCGGUGGAAUGCGCAGAUAUCAGGAGGAACACCGAUGGCGAAGGCAGUUCUCUGGGCCGUAACUGACGCUGAGGAGCGAAAGCGUGGGGAGCGAACAGG